ACUCAAAGGAAUAGACGGGGGCCCGCACAAGCGGUGGAGUAUGUGGUUCAAUUCGAUGCAACGCGAAGAACCUUACCAGGGCUUGACAUGCUUUGGACAGGCGUGGAAACACGCCCUCCCUUCGGGGCCGAAGCACAGGUGCUGCAUGGCUGUCGUCAGCUCGUGUCGUGAGAUGUUGGGUUAAGUCCCGCAACGAGCGCAACCCUCGUCCCUAGUUGCCAUCGGUUCGGCCGGGAACUCUAGGGAGACUGCCGGUGACAAGCCGGAGGAAGGUGGAGAUGACGUCAAGUCCUCAUGGCCUUUAUGCCCUGGGCUACACACGUACUACAAUGGGCGUUACAAAGGGUCGCGAACCCGCGAGGGGGAGCUAAUCCCAAAAAGGCGCCCCCAGUUCUGAUUGGAGGCUGCAAUUCGCCUCCAUGAAGCUGGAAUCGCUAGUAAUCGCGGAUCAGCACGCCGCGGUGAAUACGUUCCCGGGCCUUGUACACACCGCCCGU
rnacentral:rRNA from 1 species